GACGAACGCUGGCGGCGUGCUUAACACAUGCAAGUCGAGCGGAAAGGCCCUGCUUUUGUGGGGUGCUCGAGUGGCGAACGGGUGAGUAACACGUGAGUGACCUGACCUUGACUUUGGGAUAACUUCAGGAAACUGGGGCUAAUACCGGAUAGGAGCUCCUGCUGCAUGGUGGGGGUUGGAAAGUUUCGGCGGUUGGGGAUGGACUCGCGGCUUAUCAGCUUGUUGGUGGGGUAGUGGCUUACCAAGGCUUUGACGGGUAGCCGGCCUGAGAGGGUGACCGGCCACAUUGGGACUGAGAUACGGCCCAGACUCCUACGGGAGGCAGCAGUGGGGAAUAUUGCACAAUGGGCGGAAGCCUGAUGCAGCAACGCCGCGUGCGGGAUGACGGCCUUCGGGUUGUAAACCGCUUUCGCCUGUGACGAAGCGUGAGUGACGGUAAUGGGUAAAGAAGCACCGGCUAACUACGUG
rnacentral:rRNA from 1 species